rnacentral:misc_RNA from 1 species
GUAAAUUACAGAUUUGGUUUAACAUCUACUCUUAGUAAGUUUGUGCUUGAUCUCUAAUCCACUUUGUUGCCACCCAUUUCUGGCCCGCGAUAACCGGGCAACUUCCAUGAAGAGAUGUCUGAUCAAUUGUACCAUUAGGAAACAGCGAGUAAAACAGAAUCCCAUCGCCUUGCCGAGGUUUCACUUUUAAACCAACACAUUUUUUGUAAUCAUAGACUGAACCUAUUUGUAAGCCAUUCUCAAAA